rnacentral:sRNA from 1 species
UCCGUAGGUGAACCUGCGGAAGGAUCAUUACCAAACAAAAGAGUGCCUCCUUGUAGCAGGCAGGGCUUGGGGGCCUUGGCCUCCAUCCAUGCCCUUGCUACGUCCUUCCAUUUUGCCAAACAAACCAGCAUGUCGCAUGUCGGUGGCCAUCCCCUUGUCGGGAUCGCCCUUACACACAUUAAACAUAACUUUCAACAACGGAUCUCUUGGCUCUCGCAUCGAUGAAGAACGCAGCGAAAUGCGAUAAGUAAUGUGAAUUGCAGAAUUCAGUGAAUCAUCGAAUCUUUGAACGCACCUUGCGCUCCUUGGCAUUCCGAGGAGCAUGCCUGUUUGAGUGUCGUCGAACCCUCACAGCCCCAAGUGGUACUUACUUGGGCGUGGAUUGGUGGAGGUCUUUGCAGGUGGUGGGGAUUCCGGAUGGUGGGAGUUCCCCCCCCUCCCCUGCUCCUCUGAAAUGCAUUUGCGCACGCCCGGACCCAAUCUGCGGCUGCACAACAGCAUCUGGCACGCGCCUUCCCGGAACAGGGGAAAGUUAGCUGGCCGGAUCGAUGCGACGCACGGGCACCCACGGUGGGUAUGAUACGAGUCUUACCUGGCGCGGUGCCGUCGACGCACACAUUUGACCUCAAAUCAGGCAGGACUACCCGCUGAACUUAAGCAUAUCAAUAAGCGGAGGAAAAGAAACUAACAAGGAUUCCCCUAGUAACUGCGAGUGAAGCGGGAAGAGCUCAAAUUUAAAAUCUGGCGGCCCCUGCGGCCGUCCGAGUUGUAAGCUAGAGAAGCGUCGUCCGCGCUGGGGCCAUGUACAAGUCUCCUGGAACGGAGCGUCAUAGAGGGUGAGAAUCCCGUCUCUGACAUGGACCUCCCGGGGCACCGCGACGGCGCGCUCAAAGAGUCGAGUUGUUUGGGAAUGCAGCUCCAAAUGGGUGGUAAACUCCAUCUAAAGCUAAACAUUGGCGAGAGACCGAUAGCGAACAAGUACCGUGAGGGAAAGAUGAAAAGAACUUUGGAAAGAGAGUUAAACAGUACGUGAAAUUGUUGAAAGGGAAACGCUUGAAGU